GCAUUUUUGCUAACUAGAUGGCAAAAUGAAUAGGCCAGGAAAUGGUUUCAAAAAGGGUGUUGUGAUUUUUUCCCCUAUGCAGAUCAUUCUUUCUGCGGUGGUUUCCCGCCAUUUCACCCCUGGGCUUAAUAGUCAAGGUUAUGAGCUCACAUUUGGAUGGAGCAAUGCAAAUCCCUCAUUAGUGAAGCCCUCUUGGCCCCCAAACCAUCUUCCUUUCAGACCAGCGAGUCUUUCCCUCUAAUUACAGGAAUGUUUUCCUACUUGUUCUCAAGCCCUCUAAGCGAUGAGUUCCAAACACCGACUUGAACUCCUUCCCCUACAAGUCCUCCUGGCUUUAUAUUUGCAGAAGGGUCCUGAAACAAUUACCUGACUGCAUUCAGAAGGCUUCUCCAUUGCUGUAAACAAUGAUACCACCCGACACUUUAUAAGGGACACGGUGUAACCUGAGAGGACUCUUGUGCAAUGAGGUCUUAUGCUGCUGGGCUGUUGCUCUCACAAUUAUUAAGAAAGAUCCUCUUACAUAACACAUUUUAAACAGCUGACAUUAAAUAGAAGAGGAAGGAGAGCACAAGGAAGGACUUCCAAGCCCCAACUCCUGCUAAUCCAGUUUGCUCUUUGACAGUCUCGGGGAAAAGCUCCUAGGGAAUUGAAAGGAGGACAGCACUUCAACAGGCCCAUUGUUUGCUUCUUCUCUUAGUCAGAGCAGCCAGUUAGAACGGUCCAGCAUGUUGGGAUCGGCGGCACACAGCAGCGCCGAUUCCUUCCCUAGUUGUGUCCUGAAUACAGCCAGUAUAUCUCCCCUCAACUUGAGUUCUGUUUUGGCCAAAAACGAGCGAAUAGAUUACAUCAAGGAACAAGCCUUCAAAUCUUUCAGACUGAAGACAGAGAAAUGGAAUCGCUUCCUUUUAACAGAAGAGAACCAAAAGAUCUUGCUGGAUUUUUUGGAUAAAGGUCAAUCUCCGCAACUUGUUUUUUUCACUGGCCCAGGAGGGAAUCUCUACGUGGGCAGUGGGAAGGUUCUGUUAGUCAUUCUUUCCAACCAAAACAGUUAUAGAGACUGGCCUCGAGCUGUACUAGAGGAUGUAAGGAAGCAUGUGGAGAUGUUAAGAAAUACAGCAUAUAUUCUGCAAGGACAUAUAUCAAGAAGAACUUACCUCCCCCUACCUGAGUUGAUGGAUCACAUUCAUGAUGAAGAGGCAAUGACAUCUUACAUAGAAUCCACUUCCCUGUAUGCAGUUGAAACUAUGAUAAUCAAGUGGACCCAUCUGCUAUGUGAAGUCUUAAGACUGGAUUCUGCUCAGCUGUUUUUUCAGGGGGGAAACCCUGGACCUUCUGCAGAAAUUCAAUGUUGGCAGAGGCAAAUGGAAAACCUGCAGGGAAUUUAUGAGCAGUUGCAAAGCCCAAAGAUUCACAAAAUAAUGGAGAUGCUACAAAGAGCAAGAAGCAGCUACUACCCUGCUUUCAAUCUACUCAUCAUAAAAGUUGAAGAAGGUUUCUGUGGAAGCGGCCUCAGUCAGGCAAUGAAUGACAAAUCUCUUUAGAGAAUCAUAGAAUUGAUAGCGGAGACCCCCGCUUUUAAGCACAUCUGACUUACCGCGGGGAGUUCCACAGAUCCGGAUCGCCAGCGGAGUGGGAAAGUGUUCUGACCGCAACAAAUUAUUAUUAAAUUAUUUUCAUUAUUUUCCCCCAGCCCUAACAUUGUAACUAAUCCCUAAAUAAAAGUAUCCUUUCUUUUAACUUGAAAUUCUCUCAAGUGGUUAUUUUGUAUCCCUUUUCUGACUCCUCUUCUGCAUGGAAAACCUCUCUCCUUUCCUCCACUAACCCAACCGCCAUUCAAACUCUGGCGGGGAGCCUCCCGGGCUCUCCCUGCCAUUGAGUAACAUGGCGGACGGAACAAUUUGACCCAUAACUUCAUCGAAAAUACUCCAAGCAUGCCUAUCUUUUAUAUGUAACACUUUUGGAGGCUCCUGGUUCCGGGACAACCAACAGCACCAGAAUCGGUCCAGUUUAAAACUUCGGAUCAGCUGACUGUCAAAAAGCCAGUUCUGAUUGCUCCUUCCCAGCCACAGCCGCUCCUCGGCCUUCACGGCUGGCAGGUUGCCUCUGCAAAAACAUGGGUUUUUCUCCAGGGGUGCUGGUGGUGGACUGCCAUCCCCCCUGGGAGAGAAAUGUAGUUUCUUCAAGGACCAGCUGUGAUCUCCAUGACGGCAAGGGCUCCCGGACGAACGUCUUCUGUUCAUUCAUUCAUUUUUAUGAAUGACCGGAUUCUUCAUUCAUAUACUUACCUACAGUUCCAUGGAUUGCUGGGCUCCCAAGGACAGAAAUCAGCUUGAAUUCUUUCACUUUAUUAUUUUUAUGAACUCCCAGGUGCCUGAGCUGCUUAUGAACUUUUCAUGAACUAUGAACCACAUGUCUAUGAACUUCCUCUAUUGUCUAUGAACUCUAUACAUGAACUUUGAUUAUAUUAUUGCUGUUACACCCCCACACACUGAAUUCCCCAAAUACUCUACAUGAACUUCCCCUCGGUGAAUGUAUGGCAUAUCUUAGAUAUUAUUUUAAUUGUUACUUUAGAUAUCAUUCCCCGGUAUAUUUUAAUCAAUGAAGACAUAGCCUGAACUCUAGUUGACUCCGAAAAUUCCCGCCUUCCCUCACCCUAUAUUCUGGGCUUCACACACAAAAAAGGAUAAACUGUCACCAUAAAAUUUAAUCUAUUUUGCAUCUGCAUGGCCCAUAGCGAGAGAUUGAGCCACCCCAGAUCGGAGCAGUCCGGAGCGGGUGAUUAAAUCUCAUAUGGUAAUGUUGACCACUAACUCACCUGGACCCCUGGGGAGCCAUAGGAAGCCCCCCCCCCCCCGCUGGUCCUGCCGCCAUAACCCCAUAUUAUCAAUAUUUGCUGUUGUCAGAGUUUUAUAUUAUUUGGGUCAUUUCUUAUGUGGAAAUGAAUAAGUGUUUGCAAGAAUCAUGUCCCAUCUAUGUUUGACCAGCAGCAAUUAAGACACCUGCUUUAGACUGAGGGCUAUUAAUAGAGAUUGAGUAAGUCUUAUGGUGUUGUUGUGGUGUUGUGUUGGUGUUGUUGGAGAGAGGAGUGAAGGUGAAUAUGAAGAUGCUGUGAUGGUGGCAAAGAUGGUAUUGCUGCUGAAAAGCUACUGAAGGAGAACCGAAGAGAGGUUUGAAGAGGUUUGAAGACAGAGAGUCCAGAAACCAGAAAGGUUAAAGCUUGAAGAUAAGAAAGCUUUGUUUUUGCUGCUGAUAAAAGCAAAGGACUGUGUUUUGUAUGUUUUGUUUAUAUAAAUCUUUCUUUACCAAAGGACAGUUUGUUUUGGGGUUUUUCUCCUUGGACGAGGGUGCAAUUUCCGCAGAAGGGGUUGAGAGUUUGGAACCCAAUUUGCUAGCUGCGACAGCUGUCACCUCCGCCACACCUUAGGUGUUCAUGAACUGUGUACGUGCGUAAAACCCCAGACAUUCCAAAUGGCUCUAUUCAAAACAGCAAUAAUCUUAGAUUAUCUUAGAAGGCGCUAGCCUCAGGUAGUCACUUUGCAUAAGAUAUCUCCAACGAUUCAUUUACCAAAAUCCAUUGUCUAGCUGACUCCCGCCUCCCUCAACCUGAUUGGCCCUGACAGAGACGAAGGUUGUUCCUCAUUGGCCAAGGCGCAGGGUGGGAAACCAAGCUCCCGCCUAGUGCGGCGCCCUCGACCUAUCAGCAGCCAGAUGGGCGGAGGGACGGGGCGGGAAAUUCAAACAGACUUCAAACUUGGAAAUGUAUAAAAUGGCUUUAUUUUCACUGUAAUGUUACAUCUUGCAUGUCGAACUAUCGUGGCUUGAUGUCCUUUUCAGCUGAAUCGCUUUAAUAAAACGCUUUGACGGUUUUUUUCCUUCAACUUGGCAGAGCCUUUUCCUUUCGGUCUCAGGUAAAUUAUAUUCUGGGUUAUUUUCUACUUUUCGGUCGGCUCGCCAAGGUUCGUUCCCUCAUCUGAGAGACGGAUCGGAUCUCCCUCACAGGGUUGAUCCCUACUAAAUCGCGGUCGAUAACAGAAUCAUAGAGUUUGAAGAGACCGCAUGUGCCAUCCAGUCCAACCCCCUGCCAUGAAGGAAAAGCAAAAGCAAAAUACCCCUUUGUUUAAAAGCCUCUAAGGAAGGAGCUUCCACCAUACUCCGAGGCAGAAAUUUCCACUGCUGAACAGCUCUUAUAAUCAGGAAGUUCUUCCUAAUGUUCAAGUGGAAUAUCCUUUUCUUGCAAAAUGAACCCAUUGCUCCAAGUCCUACUCUCCAGGGCAGCAGAAAACAAAACUGCUCCCUCUUCUUUAUUAUAUUCUUUCAUAUAUUUAAACAUGGCUUACACGUCUCCUCUCAACCUUCUCUUCUGCAGGCUAAACAGACCCAGCUCCUUAAGACGCGACUCAUAAGGCAUGGUUUCCAGAUCUUUGAUCAUUUUAGUCACCCUCCCCUGGACACAUUCCAGCUUGUCAAUAUCUCUUGAAUUGUGGUGUCCAGAAUUGGACACAGUAUUCUAAGUGAGGUCUGACUGAAGCAGAAUAGAGGAAAUGAGUACUUCCCUUGACCUAGACCAGUGGUUCUCAAUCUGGGGUCCCCAGAUUUUUUUGGCCUUCAACUCCCAGAAAUCCUAACAGCUGGUAAACUGGCUGGGAUUUCUUGGAGUUGUAGGCCAAAAACAUCUGGGGACCUCAGGUUGAAAACCACUGACCUAGACCAUAAUUUCUCAAACUGUACUCCUCCAGAUGUUUUGGACUUCAGCUCCUAACAACUGAUAAGAUGGGUGGGAUUUCUGGGAGCUGAAGUCCCAAACAUCUGGAGAAGCACAGUUUGAAAAACACUGAUCUAGACACUAUACUCCUUUUGAUGCAGGGAAGUAAUGGUGCCAAUAAAAUCCCAUGAUAGGUUUGCCUUAGGAUUGUUAUAGAUUGUAAAUUACUUGAAGACAUGCAACAACAACAUGAUGAUUGUUGACACAAUCCACAUCCACUUCUUAAUUCCCUUAUAUAUAUAUAUUAAAUUUUAAUAGUUAUAGAACACCCUACCAAGACUGGCUCUGUUUUGAGAAGCCAGUUAAAACAGUGUUGUUUUGCAUGGCCUUUCGUGGAUUGCUGUGAAUUUUUCGGGCUAUAUGGCCAUAUUUCAGUAGCAUUAUCUUCUGAUAUUUUGCUGCAUCUGUGGCAAGCAUCCUCAGAGGUUUGUUUAGAGGUCCUUUGGAAAUGAGGCAAGUGGAGUGUAUAUAUAUCUGUGGAAUAUCUAGGGUGGGAAAAAGAACCCUUGUCUGUUUGAAGGAAGUGUGAAUGUUGCAAUUAGCAAGCUUGAUUAGCAUUGAGUAGCCUUGCAGCUGCAAAGUCAAUCAGUGAGGUAGCCUGGCUGUUGUGCCUGGAGACAUCUUUUGUUUAGGAGGUGUUAACUGGCACUUGACUGUUUGCUGUCUGGAAUUCCCCUGUUUCCGAGUGGUGUUUUUUACUUACUGUAUUGAUUUUGGUGUUUUUAAAAUAAUGACAACCAAAUUUUGUUCAUUUUCAUGGUUUUCUCCUUUCUGUUGAAAUUGUUCACGUGCUUGUAGAUUUCAAUGGCUUCUCUGUGUAGUAUGAUAUGAUGGUUGACAGAGUGGCCCAGCAUUUCUGUGUUCUCAAAUAAUAUGCUGUGUCCAGGUUGGUUCUCUGGUUGUAUGACUCUGCAGUGCUUUCCAUGUUCUUUGAUUCAUGUUUGGGUGCUGCGUUUGGUGAUCCCUAUGUAGGCUUGUCCACAGCUACAUGGUCUAAAAUAGACUCAUCAGUGGUUAGUUAGGGGUUCCCUCUUAUCCUUUAAGAAUGCUACUGGAACAUGGCCAUAGAGCCCGAAAAACUCAGAGCAACCCAGUGAUUCUGGCCAUGAAAGCCUUUGACAACACAUGGCCUAUAGUGUUUGAAAUUGUUCUGUGUGAUUUAAAUAUUUUAUCAUCCGGUAUGAAAAUCUUAAAAUUUCUCCACAGUGAUGAAGAUUUGACAAAAUAUUUUAGCCAAACUGACACUGUGAUGUUUUGUUGUGACAUCAACUGAUUGUUUUGUGCUCUCAGAUGCAACCAUGAUCCAACAGAAUGGUGAUUGUUUAUUGACUCAUCUUUCAUAGAAUCAUAGAAUAAUAGAGUUGGAAGAGAUCACAUGGGCCAUCUAGUCCAACCCCCUGCCAAUUGGGUGCUGUAAGUGACGAACAUGGUGAAUGGUUUCAUCAGAACAUUGCUAAGAUGGAGAAAUGGUAUCAGGGAAAGUGUUGGGUGACUAUUGUUGGACUCUUGUCUGCAAAGCAUCAGACAGUGAUUACAAAUAAAAAUCUGAGGCAAAACAUUUUUAGUGUUGUUUCCUGAUGAUGCCAUCACUGUCAUAGUGUAUGCUGCUAUUAACAUGCAAUACUUAGGAUGUAUCGCCUUUUUCUCAAAAAAUAAUAAAUACAUAGUUAUGUUCAGUAUGUUAAAAUCUACUUGGUUCACCUAAUAUUGUGGAGGAAACAAAGCAUUCCCCAAAAUUUGUUGAUUUUAUUUAUUGAUUUAUUUUCUUUAGUUAUAAUCCACCUUUCUCCCUGUGGGGACUCAAGGCGGUUAACACUCCAAACUAGGGAAAUUUAAAAGGUGCAACACAAAAGUUAAAAAGCAAUUAAAAAUCAAAUAAAUAGUAGCAGUAGAUAUACUAAAAUGGCAUUUAAAACUCAUAGUGAAAUUAAUAGCAAAGAAAGCAGAAUGUUGUAGUAAAAUUCAAUAUUUUGAUAUGCAAUCACCUUAUAUUAGUGGUUCUCAACUAGCAGAGAAAAAAAUUCCAGUCACCUUGACCAGCGGUUAAGAAUGCCUGGUGGGUUGGGUUUCAGAUUAUACUUUUUUAAAAAAACCCUUGAAUUGAUUUUUUAAAAGGUCAUAAAUAUUUUCAACAUGUUGUCCCUUUUCCAUCAAAAUAGGCUUUCUCAUUUCUAAUCCCUGAGGAGACCUUCACAAUCAACCUGGGAGAGGAAAAAAUUAAACAGACAAUAUAGACAUUCAGAACCUUCAAGACUACCUUCUCUACUUAUCAAGAAAAACUUGCUUGCAAUCAUAGUAAUCAAGACAGUGUGAAACCGUGGGACUUCCCUUCUGAUUUGGUGUUUUCUAGAUUUGACAAGAUCCUUCAGAGGUUGCGGUACAUUAAGGCAAUGUAUAGUAAUAUUAGUGCUUAAGAAUUUUGAAUGCUUGAUCUCAGGGCUUGGGCCUGAGUCUCCAGUUUUCAUAGGUCAUCUCCUGGUGGGGAACGAAGUGCAAAUUCUCUGAUUUUGCUGGGUUCACAAAGUGUUUUGUGCAAAUCUUUAGCAUGGAUAAUCACAUAAACACUUGGUAUUGUUUUGAGAGGUAUAAACACUUUAUAUGUGACAUGUUUUAAUAUCACUAAAACACUAGGGUGGGCACUGAGUUCUUAAUUAAACAUGUUUUUCACUCAAAGGAGAUAUUUACAUCAGCUAUUGACUUCCUCAAGUUAGAAAAAAUUGAAUUUGGGGGCUUGAGAGGAAAGAUUCUCAGCAAGGAGAUUCACUAUAUGAAUGAAGAGUUUCAUGAAAGCUGGAAGGCACUCCAAGAAAGUAAAUAUGACCCACUGGACUAUGAAAACCAGGUAAAUAUUUAUCUACAGGAAAAAAGGCAAUUCAGAGAGUCUGAAGAAAUGGAGAGUCACAAAAGUUCUCCACUUCACCCAACACUGUAUUAAAGAACACAAUCCCUUAUUUCACUUUGCAACCCUAUGCCCAAUUGGACACAAAUGCAAAUCAUGAUCUGCAUGUAUAGAUACAUGAUUUAUCUGAACUAAUGCUUGGAUAGGCAUGAUCAUUUUGACCUGGCUAGGCUUUGGUUUGAAAUAAAUUAAUUAAUGGUGCUGUCUAACUGAAUGAUUGCAACUGCAAACUGAAAUUAAAAGCUCAUAUUUCCUAUGCAGGAAUUUCUGUCUGACUACACAAGAUACAUUCAGCAGAUUAAUGAGUUUGAUAACCAAUUGGGAACAAUACUAAAUCUUGCCUUUCAGGAGCCAAAGGGAUCGGAAUCAGAUUUUAAGGUAAGAAUUUUAAGGAUCUAUUGGAUACAGACUAAAUUGUGAUGCAGUCCCAUUUUACUCAACGGGUCAGAAGCCUAUUCAUUUCAGUAGAACAAAAGCAUACCUGAGUCUGGACCCAGCCUUAUAUCUAUAUCACUCCAACAGUCCUAAUUAGAGUGAACUCAUUAAGAGCACUGAAACUUGCGUAAUAAGUCCUAUUCAUUUCAAUUGGUAAUUCUUGCUAAGACUGACAUUGCAUUUAUCUAUUUAGAUCUAGCUGUGAGUUGAGUGUGUAUGUGUAAAGGUCUAUAUUUUAACCUUAAGGCAUCACAUACUUGAGUGUAUGAUAUGGCCAUAUUUAUUAUAUGGCUAGUUAAUUGUAACUAGCACAAUUAAUUUAAUUGGCCCCUACCGGGAGCAAUGAUAGGUGCUUGAAGAAGGCACUCCAAAUUCUGUCCUUGAGCCUUCAAAUAUAUCAUAUAUUUAUAGCCCUGCAUUGCAUUCAAUACUGUUUUAAAAGUUCUUUUUAUUUUCUACCCGUACUGAGCAAUUCUUCUCUGUAUCUUUCUUCCCCUCUCCUGCUAUGCACAGUUGAUAUGGGAAAUAAAUUUCAAAGGUGAGAGUUAGGAUUCAUGUAGAAUUUUAUUUUCUGUUCUUUUGUAGUGUUAUUUGGCUACAGGAAUUAGUUCUGGGCAUACAUAGAUACCACU